GAUGAAGAACGUAGCGAAAUGCGAUAAGUAAUGUGAAUUGCAGAAUUCAGUGAAUCAUCGAAUCUUUGAACGCACAUUGCGCCCGCCAGUAUUCUGGCGGGCAUGCCUGUUCGAGCGUCAUUUCAACCAUCAAGCCCCAGGCUUGUGUUGGGGACCUGCGGCUGCCGCAGGCCCUGAAAACCAGUGGCGGGCUCGCUGUCACACCGGGCGUAGUAGAUUUUAUCUCGCUCAGGGCGUGCUGCGGGUCCCGGCCGUUAAAAGCCUUUUUUUACCCAAGGUUGACCUCGGAUCAGGUAGGAAGAACCGCUGAACUUAAGCAUAUCAAUAAGCGGAGGA
rnacentral:misc_RNA from 1 species